UACGUAGGGAGCAAGCGUUGUCCGGAAUCAUUGGGCGUAAAGCGCGCGUAGGUGGCCUCAUAAGUCCGCUGUGAAAGUCAAAGGCUCAACCUUUGAAAGCCGGUGGAUACUGUGAGGCUAGAGUACGGAAGAGGCGAGUGGAAUUCCUGGUGUAGCGGUGGAAUGCGCAGAUAUCAGGAGGAACACCAUAGCGAAGGCAGCUCGCUGGGACGUUACUGACACUGAGGCGCGAAAGCGUGGGGAGCGAAACAGG
rnacentral:rRNA from 1 species